rnacentral:lncRNA from 1 species
UGCAUCCCUUAUUAUUAAUAGGUUAAUUGCAAACAUCUCCCUAUAAAUAUAGCAGAUUGCAAAUAUUUUUCUACAAAGUUUAACUUUCUUACGUUAUUUCUACAAAUAUCAUAAUAUUUUCAAACACAUGCGGUUAAGAUCUGUUAGAAAAGUUUAGUUAAUCAUAGAUAAAAUAUUUAACAAUUGUUAGUUAAUGGGGUAAAUUGACAUUUUUACCUCUCUUAAUUAUAUUAUACUUUCCUUUCUCAAUCAAAACUCUAGUAACAGGAACUCUUCUUUUUCUUCGUUUUCUUCUUUUUCAUUAAUACUAGGAACUCGUAACUAGAAUUUCUCCGUUGCCAUUCAUUCACAACGCGUCUUUCUUCGUCCAUGUGGAACGCGUGUUGCCUUUUCAUUCAAUUUUUUUCUAUAAUUUUUUUCUUAUUUUGUUCAAAAGAAAAAGUUUAGGAGAAAAAGAGUGAGAGAAGAGGUUGCAACAAUCGUGAAUUGAGUUGGAUUUUAAAAAGAAAGAAGAUGAGGAAAAAUAUGACCAUUGAAAAUUUUUUUGGGGAUCAUUUCUGCACGAUUAUAGUAGAUAGGGUUUUUGGAGAAACAUAUUUGUAUUGGCAGAAUUAACAUUUCACUUAGCUGCCGUUAAAAAAUAAACAGUUCUCUAACAUUAAUAAAUAAAAAAGACAAAUAUGAAUAUCACUGAAAUUUUAUAAAAAUAAAAUAAAUAUAUUAAACUUUACAAAAAUAUGUUAUUCGUUAUAUUUACAUAUAAAGUUAUAUGCAAUUAACCCUAUUGGUCGUACUAGGUGUGGUCUAUGAAUGAUGUGGUAGACCUGGUCCACUUAAUAAUUUCAUUUCACGACGGCGUUUCCCAUUGUCACCCCCGAGAUGACCGGCUCCGAGCAUCUGCAACCGCUGAUAACCGGUCACCCGAACCUUGUCGGCCUCGGUUCCGCUCCAGUGCCCUCAAAAAUCUAUAUAAGCCUACCUCCCGUCCCCCUUCGUCCGAGGAAAGAGGGAAAAAAAAAAAAAAAAAAAAAACAAAGAGUUACAUGGACUCUACACGUGUCUUAAUUUUGUGUGUGUGUUCGAGGGAACACAACUUUGAACAAUGGAAACCUAGCUAGGUCCANGGAAAAAAAAAAAAAAAAAAAAAAUCAAGAGUUCGAAUCGGGGUCGAUCGAUCGAGAGUCGGCUCCUUCGUCUCCACUCAGAAAUUUACCCCCUUUUGCACCUCUUUUACUCUCCAAUUUCAGCUCGAAAUCGCGAGGUAAUGUCUCCGCCGCUUCAAUUUCCCUUUUUAUAUAGUAAUUUUUCGGGUUUUCUUCUUCGAUUUCGUCUUUGAUCGACCCGAUUGGAGGAAAAGAUUAAUUUAUAGUGAUGAUUUAUGCGGCGAUGGGGUUUUCUUUGCUAUCUCUUGCGAUUAUUGUGAUUUGGGGAUCUUUCUGAUCCGGGCGACUCAGAUUUUUUAUGACCUGUUGUUGUGGGGAUCUUUGAUCGUGCAAAAAAUUAGGGUUUUCUUCCGCGGAGAGCUGAAAAUUAGCGAUCUUUGAGAGGUGUUUAGGGUUUUUGAUCUGGUUCUCUUCUUCAGCAUCUUGCAUUUCCUGGUAAUCGUUGUGGUGAUCGAUUUUAGUUGGCUUCAGUGCGAUCGGGAGCUAAAAAAAGAUUUUUUUUUUUUUUUUCUUUUCUCUUCUAGGGAUCUCAAAAUUAGGGUUUUUUUUUUUUUUUUUUUUUUCCCCAACAUCUUCUUCUUUUUGGCGGCGAUCUUUUCUUAGGUAGGGCUGGCGCUGGAUAGCCGUGCGCAGUCUAGCCGCCAGUCCGGCGCUGCUCCGUCAGCCGCCGCUUCCAAACCCUCCUCCGCCGCCGGCGUCUUCUUCCCAGCCGAUGGCUGGAGCCCGGCCCCACCUGUGAGCUCCAUGUCAGGAGGCAGCGGAGGCCCCUCCGGUCCCGGGGACAUGAACCGGGGCGGCGGGGUCCUCAACAGCACGGCCAACUCCUCUGGGCCCAGCAUCGGCGCCAGCUCCUUGGUCACGGACGCCAACUCCGCACUUUCCGGCGGCGUGGGGGGCCCCCACCUGCAACGGAGCGCCAGCAUCAACACGGACCCCUACAUGCGCCUCCCGGCCUCCCCCAUGUCCUUCUCCUCCAACAACAUAUCGGGCUCCUCGGUCAUGGAUGGCUCCUCCAUCGUGCAGCAGAGCCCUCACCACGAGCAGCUACAGAACCAAGGAGCGUCCAGUGUUACGUCUAACCCUAAAGACAUGCAUGCUCACAAGAAGCAGAGGGUGAUGGAAGUGAAGCAGGAGGAUAUUCUGCAGCAGCAGGUGAUGCAGAAGCUGCUUCAGAGGCAGCAGGACCCGCUGCAGAUGCAGGGUAUUCAGAACCCUCAGCUGCAUUCUAUGAUCUCGCAGCAUAGACUAGCUCAAAGGCAGCUGCAGCAGCCGCAGAUGUUUCCGCAGAUGCAGUGCUCGCCGAUUGCCCAACAACAGAUGAGGCAGCAACUGCUGCCUCACAUCAUGCAGUCGGUCAGCCCUGUAAAACGCCCGGUUAACGGUGGGAUCUGCGCUCGCCGGAUCAUGCAGUACUUGUAUCACCAGCGGCAUCGGCCACAGGUGAGCAUGUAAUUGGAACGGAAGAAACCUUAUCUCUACGAUCUUUUGGCAUGAGCAAGUUGUGACCCUUUCUUAUAUUGCAGGACAAUAAAAUGUCUUACUGGAGAAAGUUUGUUGAAGAGUAUUUUGCUCCACGAGGAAGAAAAAGGUGGUGCUUGUCUUUGUACGAUAAUAUGGGCAACCAAGCCCUGGGUGCCUUCCCACAAACAUCUGUUGUGAGCUUUCUGCAUCUUAACCAUUUUGCUCUAAUUCUAUGAAUAAAAUUUCCUUAUCAAUUUCCCAAUAUUGCAUAGCAGAAACUUAAUUGUAAGCCUCAUAUUCCAUUUUUUUCCAAUCCAUAUCUGUUAAUCUUGGAUAAAGAUUUUCAUGUUUCUUGAGUUUAGCAUCACUGAUUGGUCUCUUAAUUUUGUUCUUUUCCACGUAUUAUUCUUUAUAAUUUAUCUAUUCCUUGUAAUUUUGAAAUAUAAUUUUGCUAUUCCAUAACUCUCUUUUAAAUUUACUUUUCCAUCUGUAAAUUGGUGUGAAGUACCUUUCUGCUACUUUUUUGAUAUGACUAGCCAUCCUUGCAUCAUUGGGUUCAUUUCUUAUUUUCAGUUUCGUUUGUGAACCUCCAUUACUUCUUUACAUUCUUUUGUAGUUUUGCCUUUGAAAUUUCACCAUCUUAUUAUCAGGAAUCUCCACUUUUUAUUAUGUGACUUUUUCAUUCCCUCCACAUUUUAGACACAUGAAUGCUAGCUUUAUAUCUUCUGUUAGCUCUUUAAUUUUUUAUUAAUUUUGUUUAAACAUGUUAUACCUUUUUACAAAGCCUAUUCACUAUGCUAUUGGCCAUUUUUAGAACUAAUGAAAAUUUCACGCAUUUUUCUCCAAGCAAGUGUUUGAAAUCUGAAGCUGUAUUCUAAAAUUCACUCUUUUUUCUAAGCGCAUGUACCAAGCUUGAAAGAACUUCUGUUUCUGUUGUCACCACAAUAAUGGCAUUAUUUUGUUUCCUUGUUUAUUAUUAUAUAUAGCAGUAACUUUUGUGCACAAAAGCAGAUUACUAUCGGAAAAGUAAAUUUAAAUUGUGCUUCAUCUUUUCUUGUGGUUAUUAAAUACAUCUAUUUUACUUUCUACAGGAUGCUUGGCAUUGUGGCAUUUGUGGUUCUAGAUCAGGAAAAGGAUUUGGUUAGUUGAUUCGUUGCUUUUACUUAAUUUUAUUUAUAUAUAUAGAGGAUCUGGUUAAUUGAUUCAUUACUAGUACUUUCUGACGGCUAAAACAUUAUAUUUUGUUAUGCAGAUAUAUUUAAUUGUGUUGUAACUUUGUUAUGCAUGUAUAAUGUUAUAGAUACAGUUGUGUUGUUUACACUUUCUUUUUGCUUGUAUGUAAUUUAUAAUAUCUUGAAGUUUGAGGGCAUUGUUGGCUCAUGAAAAGUUAUUUUCAGAUUAAAGUUGCCUUUCUAGGCAAUGAUUAUAACACCUAUCCUUACCCACUAUUUAUCUAUACUGUAACUGAUCCAAAUUCUACUAUUGAUAUCCAAAUUCUGCUGUGCUGAGACUCCGACAUGAGACUGGCACGCGAGUUCUCACUGACUAUAUGUAAUUCUGUAAGGUCUUUUGGGUUUUGACUCUUUGAUGACUCUUACUGACUAUCACACUGAGUGCUAUAUCUAUCAAAUAUAUACAUGCUACUUAAGUCAACAGUAUGCUAAUGCAUUCUAGAAGAAAAUUUAUCAGUUCUAGUUGGUCUUUUACCUUUUCAUGUCGAUUAUAUAUGGCAUAUGGAUACCCUUUAGGCUACUUAACGUGCAGAUCACUUUUGUUAUGCUCAACUUUGCUUACUUUGUAAUCUGACUUUUGGCUCAUUUUUAUGUGAGUAUUCAGUAUAUCUUCUGGGAAGUUGCUAGUCAUUGAAAUAUGAUUUCUGUUUCUUUUGCUGACAGAGGCUACCUGUGAAACACUUCCUCGGCUUUUUCAAAUUAAAUUUGAUCAUGACGUUAUUGAUGAACAUUUAUUCCUCGACAUGCCAAAUGAAUACAUGUUGUCCGGGUUGCUAGUGUUGGAGUAUGCAAAAGCUGUUCAAGAGAGCAUUCAUGAACACCUACAUGUUGUUCGUGAGGGACAACUUCGAAUUACAUUCACGCCAGAAUUGAAGGUUUUCAUUCUAAUAAUGCUUUAGUACUUUCCCACCUGGCAUUAGUUAGAUUGUCAUGCUGUUCAUUUUACAAAUUUAGCUUUAAGGUGUUCUUGUCAUUUAACACAUAUAUAUAUAUGUCACUCAGAUAUUGUCCUGGGAAUUCUGUGUACGACGCCAUGAAGAGUUCCUCUCUCGGAGGUUUAUAGCUCCUCAGGUAUUGAGAGAAACUUAUAGAAAUAAGAUUUCUUUACUUCCAACUAAUGCAUAUCGCUACUUAACAAACCGUCCCCGCUUAAUAAUAAGAAAAAUUGAAAAAUAAAUAAUACGAAAGAGUAUCAUUUUGCUUUCCACUUCAGCAUCUAUUAAGGUUUCAUUUUCUUUGCAAUUGUUAUUCUUGAAUGCUUUCCAGAAUUGAGUUGCAUUUAGAUGAGGGGGAACAAUAAAGCUGUAAACUUACUAUUGAAAUCUUAAAUUGAAAUUAGAAGAUAUGAUGUCGUUACUCAUCCAUUAUGCUCUUCCUUUUUGUAUUUCAUUUUGUUGUUUGAUUAUAUUAACUUGUUUAUUAUCGAGUUAUUAAAUAUAAGGAUUCAUAUAGUUAAAUUUUAGGGAAAACUUCAAAAACCCCUCCUGUGGUUUCAUAGUUUCUCACUUUGCCCCCCUGUGGUUUAAAAUGUAUCAAUUUGCCCCCCUGUUGUUUCUUUUUUCUCUUUUUCUUAUCAAUUUCAUUAUUUUUUUUUUCUUAAAUUAUUGAUAAAGUUAAAAUUAAAGGGUACUAAAGUGAAUAUUUGAUAAAUCUAGAUGGGUAUCUGAAGUUUUUGUAUAUAAUUUAAUAAAAUAUUAAUGAAAAAGCUACCGAAAAGAUAAAAACGAAACCACAGGGGGGCAAAUUGAUACAUUUUAAACCACAGGGGGGCAAAGUGAGAAACUACGAAACCACAGGGGGGGUUUUUGAAGUUUUCCCUAAAUUUUACUUUCAACAAGUGGAAUUAUUUGAUGCUUAUGUCUUUUGGUAUUUUGAUGAAAGUGGAUUUUAGUGUUGAAUCAAUGAUGGCCUGGUGCUUAUAUUGUGGGUUUCUCACAUAAUAGUAGAGACUUCUCUACUAAACUUCUAUCUUUGCUAUGGUUCACAAAAUGGCUAUUACACAAGUUGGUUCUGGAUAAUCUAAAAAUCAUUUAAUUCCUUGAGAGGCGUGACAAAGGAAAUAUACAUUUAUUAUGCUGAUGUUCCCUUGUUUUUGCGACUUUCUGGUAUUUCAAAGCAAUUAUGAGGUAGAAAAACAAAUCGUUUUUUUUUUUUUUUUUUUUUUUUUUUUUGCAACAAUGAUAUCAUCAUCAUGAGUAGUUAAAGUUUGGCUCUGUGUAUGCUGGUAGUUCGUUAAUCUUCUAAGGUGCCUCUUCUCCUUUUUUUUUUUUUUUGUGUGUGUUGUUUUGAGUGUUUAACAAGUGUAGUUUGCUUUUCAAAAAUAUUCUCAACUUUUAACCCAUGCUCAUAAAUUACUAAAUCUAAUAAAUUUGGUGUUUUGGAUAAAUCAUUACAAUCUUAUUUUAGUAUGUUGCAUGAAGUUAUUCAUUUGUUCCACCUAUGCAUGCUUAUUCCUUUGGAUGUUGUAAUAAGUUUUACAAUUCUUAUGUUUUAUGUGCAGGUGAACCAGCUCUUGCAAGUUAGCCAGAAAUAUCAAAAUGCUGUCAAAGAUAGUGGAUCAGCUGGAAUCUCACCGCAAGAUUUGCAAGCCAGCUGUAACAUGUGAGUAAACUUACGAUUUGUGUUCAGUAUUUUAGAUAUGGGGUGUGAAAAAAGAGAAGGGAUGAGACUUCAAUCCUCUGCGUGCACUAUUGUAUUUGUUUGUUCUCUUUGGUUUUUUUUUGUGCAUUUUUUCUAUUAAUUUCUCUUGUUCCCUCCUUCCCCUUCUAUCUUUAUGAUGGAUCUUUUGCUUUCACUUCUUUAUUCUAAUCUCUUUUUAACUUCUCUUCUUUUUUAUUUUUUUUGUUUCCUUCCUUGUUUACUCAGUUGCUCUUAGACUUAAGUUUCUUUUGCUCGUAUACUUAUUUUAUUAUGUGUUUUUUAAUUUUAUAUUCUUAUCUUUGAUUUUUGAAAUCGAAACCUAUAGUAUCAUUACUGUUCUUUUUUUUUUUUCAACAGAAAAAAGUUUCUUCUUUUCUUUUCUUUUUCUCUCAUGUAAGUUGUUUUAUUUUUUAUGCAUUUAGCCUUUUUUUCUCUUUUUAUUUUUCUUUUGCCUUUUGAGUUUCAUAAUUGUUACUUUAUCUUAUCAUAAUCCCAUAUUCCCAUAAUGCUAGUUGAUGGUGCUUGUUUACCUAAAUUGGUAAAUAUGUUUUUUGUUCUGGAUGAAAAACUAUUUGGGAUUCUAAUUUAUAAUUUUCAUGCCACUUAGUUUUGAGGUGAUUGCUAAAACACGCAGUUUGAGGUAGUAGAGUAAGUUGUAUAAUAAGUUAGGGUGUCAAGGAAUUCUUUUUUGUAUUUCAAAUUGUAUGAUGUAACUAGUCGAUUGAUUUCGAGCAACUGUAUAAGUUCAGGGUAUCAAGGAAUUGCUUUUUUGUAUUUCGUACUGCAUGUUGUAAACUAGUCAAUUCAUUUUGAGCCAACUUAAAUCUCUUUGAUUCUUUUUUAACAGUUUUGCAAAUAAUUCAAGAAAGAAUUGCAGGUAGUAGUAGGCAGCUCGUCAAAUGAGCUUAUCUAGGAAUCUCUAGUGUUUUUAAUUUCCUAAGGAAAUUUUAAAUAUACUUGGAAUUUUGUUGUUAUGCCAGUUGUUUGUUUUGAUUAUCAUAUGUUGAGCCUGAUUUAUUAUAGAAAUGUUUUGCUCUGUUAGUUUCUUCUGUAAAUAGUAUUAUUUUUAUGGUUUGCAUUUCGCAGAAACAUCUUUGGAAUCUAUUUUCAUUUUGUUGUUUAACUUGACUAAGUUGCUUUAAUCUGACAGUCAUUUUUUCUUCAUUACACAGGUUUGUAGCUGCAGGUCGUCAACUUGCUAAAAGUCUCGAACUCCAGUCACUGAAUGAUUUAGGUUUUUCUAAACGAUAUGUACGGUGCUUGCAGGUACUUGAGAUUUCCUUUCUGACUGUUUAGUUCACAUUUUUAUAUUAGACCCAACUGUUAAUAUCACUGAAUUCUAUUAUGCGUAUCGGCAGAUAGCGGAGGUGGUAAAUGGCAUGAAAGACCUGAUUGAUUUUGGCCAGGAGCACAAGAUUGGACCCAUAGGUUUGAAAUCUGCGCUCUUAAUUCCAUUUAUUGUUGUUAAUCCGCAGUUGAUGUGAGAGCUUCUAUUACUGUAAGAUCCUUCAAUAUUUUUAUGAGUUUUAAGAUGUAGUAUGUGAUAUUCAUGCAGUUAUCCACUGCAUAGUGCAUAUGCGGUAUGCAGGCGCAUAUGAGGUCCAACUAUUAAAAUAUUAAAAAAAAUAUUUAUAGGUGCUAGAAAUAUAUAUAAAUAUUUUUUGACAAAGCUAGAUAACUAAAGUAACAAUUCAGAAUUCACAAAUUCAAAUAAUUAAUUUUUAGUAACGGAUACGUACACACUAAAGUAAUAAUGUACCAUUUACUCUUAAUUAUUAAAUAGAGAGAGAAAUAGGAUUUCUAUGCAAAAUCAUAAAAAUGUCAAACAAGAAUCAAUGUUCUAAAAGACGGUAUGCUAAAUUUCUAUAAAGAAUAAUUAAAAUUUUCAAUAAACUGUCUUUCGCGUUAUUUGACAGAUCGACACUUAAAUAAAAAAAAAUGUAUACUAUGAAUCUAUGAUAGAAUCUAACAACUACAAAAUUAUUUAGCAAUAUUUGUAAACAUAAAUAUUAGAUAUAUUAGGAAUAAUAUCUAUUAAAAUAAAAGGAAAGAUAGUUAGGUUAUAUUUAUAUAAAGAUAAUUGAAUUUGUAUGCAUAAUUAUUAAUUUAUAUGAAAACAUCAUAUGUAUUUGUAUAAUCAUUUAGCAAGCAGGCACAUUCAACAUUGCAUUUCAAUUCCACCUUAAAUAAAAAAAAUACUGCCGCAUAUGCGUCUGACUACAUACCAAUGUUCCAAAAUGCGGUCUGCGUUAUUCAUGCGGUUCCCACUGCAGAGCGCAUAUGCAGUAUGCAGGUGCGUAUACGGAUGCAUAUGCAGCCCAGGUGGUAAAUAUUUAAAAAUAUUUAUAGGUAUUAAAAUUAUAUGCAAAUACUUCCUAGCAAAGCAAAAUAAUUGAAGUAAUCAAUCAGAAUUCACAAACUGAAAUAAUCAAUUUCAAGUAAGACCUCGUAUGCACACAUGUACCAUUAAAUUAAUAAUUAGCAAUGUGCUCUUAAUUAUUAAAUAGAGAAAUAAAUAGAACUUUGACGCAAAAUUAUAAAAUUGUCAAAUAAAAAUCAAUAUUCAAAAAAGUAGUAUGCUAAAUUUUUAUGAAGAAUAAUAUUUUUUUCAAUAAGCUAUCAUUCACGUCAUCUGGUAGGCCAAUACUUGAAAAGAAAUAUCCAAUUACAUCUUACAACUACAAAAUUAUCCACUAAUAUUUUUAAAUAUAAUUAUUAUAUAUAUUAGGGACAAUGCCUACUAAAAUAAGAAGAAAGCUAGUUAUAUUAGAACUAGGCUAGAAUACUAUUAAUAGCAGUUGAUGCUACUAAGUUUUCGGUCCUUGGAUAAAGUGAUGUGCGGUUAGGAUGAUAGUGGUCCCUUAGGGUUGAGUGGUUGGUUGGUUGGUUGGUUGAAUUGUAUGAUCUAAUGGGUAUAAAUUAUCAAAAGGGUAGAUCUAACAGCAGAAAAUUUGGUAGCAUCAAGAGUUUGCUGCCAUCGAUAGCAUUGUAGCCAGACUCGUUAUAUUAUACUUAUAAAAAGAUAAUUGUAUAUUUAUGCAUUCUUAUUAACUAAACAUGUCUGAAAAAUAGAUAUUUAUACGGAAUUGGGCUAGAAUACUAUUAAUAGUAUUCGGUUGCUAUCGAGUUUUUAACCCUUGGAUGAAAAUUUGUAGGGUUAGGAUGAUAGCGGUCCCCUAAGGUUUAGUAGUAGUCCCCCUAGGGUUGAGUGAGUGGUUAGUUGAAUAGUAUGAUCUAAAGGAUGAAAUUGAUUAAAGUGUAGAUCUAACGGCUAAAAAAUCGAUAGCAAAAGAGCCCAAAUACUAUUAAUAGUAUUCCAGCUCAACUCUAUUUAUAUGUAUAAUUAUUAAGCAAACAAUACUCUAUUUGUAUGUAUAAUUAUUAAGCAAACAAUCUCAUUCAAUAUUGCCUUUUAAUCCCACCAUAAAAAUAAAAAUGCUGCAUGUGGUCGGCUACCUUUAUGCCACCGUAUAUGUCGCCACCUGCCACAUCUGGGCGGGCAUAUGCGGUCGGACUGCAUAUUAUAUAUGCGGUGUGGUUGUUGGUCCAAACCGCCUAUGCGGCUGCAUAGACUGCUUUUUUGGAACAUCGCAGGAUACUGCACUGCAUAUUACUUGUGUGGUGUGGUUGAUUGUCCGAACUACAUAUGCGGCUGCCUUUUGAAACAAUGCAAACAAGAAACAAUAAAAGUCUGUAGAAAAGCUUGGAGAGUACUUAUUACCUCGUUCGCAAAACCUAGUUUUUAUUUAUCAUGAUAUUUCUUUUUUACAAUCAACGAACCUAUUAGAGCUUAUGUAGGUUCUAGCUUUGUCCCCUCCAUGCUCCUUGAAUUCUGAUUUUGUUUCCCGACUUUUGGACUACUAGUUUUCAGGGCCUCAUUUGGUAUUAUUGCCGUCUCUGGUCUUUUUUAAGCACAAGUUCCAUGCACUAGGGUGUGCAGGUUGAUGUGGACCUUUAACUUAGCAGUAAGUAGUAACUUUUCUUCUUCUUUGUAUUUGACGCUGUUCCCUAUCCUGUUGGGGGUUGCUUUUCGAGAAACAAAAAAAAUCGGCAAUGGUACCAAAUGUAGAUGUAAUUAGCCAUUUUAUCAAGUAUUUCAGAGACGAUUAUUAGUACUUGUUGAAGUACUUGGUAUUGCUAUUCUCCUUAUUAGCUAUACUGUGUUAAUAAUGCGGUUGAAGCAUUAAAAACUAUGCAUCUGCACGCUAAAAAAAACUAUGCAUCUGCACGCUAAAAUCUAUGCAUAUGUACAGUGGAAUAAUUUCACCUUAGGUACUUUCCUGUUUGCUACAGAAUAUGCUCAUUGAUUUCUGAAAUAUUUUGGAUAAGAAAUUGCUUAAUAGAAGUUUUAUGUAUUCUGUAUAAACUAAUUUGUCUUCGUAAGCCUCAUUCAUAGCUCGUCAUCUUGGAGGGAUAGAGGUAUCAAGAAUUAUACUGUCCUCUGCAAAUGGUAAACUUCGCAAGCAUUGUUAUUCACAAGUUUAGGAUAUAGAACCUGUUUAAGUUGUGUAAUUUACAGCUCGUAUGCUCGAGUACAAAUCAAUUUCUGAAGGAAUUCAUUAUAUUUAGCACAAGGACUUACAAAUUGGAUUCUAUUCAUAGUGGCUCUUUCAAUUACUUUCGAAGCAUUUGUAUCUAUUUCCAUCAUCAAGAGGCAGCUAUUUGUUCUUCUAGAUGAAGAAAAGAGGAUUUUUUGCAUUCAAAUGUGUCAUCAUGACUUCUCUUUUUCUUCAUAUUUAUUUCUGUUUUAUUUGUUUUGCAGAGAGCUUGAAGAGCUACACAGCGCAGGCCGCUGCGAAGCUCCAGGCCCAAAAGUUACAGGCAGCAGAGCAGCUGAGGACUCCUAACGGCCUUUCCGCCGACCCGAGCACCCUUAGUAAACUCAUGAGCAUUCACCAUCAUCCAGGAAUGUGCGCACAUAUCAUCAAUGGCAACCUCACAAACACUCAACUCAACAGUAACAACAACACACUGGAACGAACUGCGAUGAUGAACAAUAGCUAUCAGAACUUACUGAGAAACUCUAUGAGCAAAAACCAGAACCUACUUCAUCAGGAACUGCCCAACGGCUUCAAUGGGCCUAUUAACCAAUCACAGCCUGUGAGCCACUACCGCACCUCUGUCUCUCCCGUCUUGUCAAAUAACUUAUUCGGUCAGUUUCCACAGCAGCCUCCUAUGAACAGUGGUAACUUGCCGCAGAACAAUAAUAACAUGCAGCAGCAAGUGAUUCAGCAGAUGCUGCAAGAUGGUAUGAAUAAGAACCGGCCAGAAAUGCAGCAGCCUCCCGCCACCUCUGUUCACAACAAUAACGGACCGGUGAAUGCCGGGCCGGCAAAAAGCACCACGGAGUCGGGGAAUGCUCCGAGCAACAUAAGCAACAGCGCUGUCGGUGCAGGACCUACCAGGAGCAACAGUUUCAAAUCUGCCCCCACAGAGACCGCUGUCGCGGGAAGCAGUGUUAGCUCGAGACUCGAAUUGCCCCAGAAUGUGGAUCUAGCGGAGCUGGAUCAGAUUGUGCGGGAGUUUGGAGAAGGCGGGAUGUUUAGCGGCGACAUAGCUGACUUUGGGUUCGAUUGGAAAGUUUGAAAGGUUUUAUGUAGUUUGGUUUGAGGCUUGGUAAAGAAAAUAUUUGUAUAGAAUAGCUACUAUUUGUACCAGUGGAUCUGAUCUGAUUUGUCUAUUGUAUGGCAAGGUGGUACUCUUCAAGUUGAUCUACGUAGGCAGUUUUGAGAUUUCGCAGUUAAAUAACGUUAGUUUUUACUACAACUAAAAUUGUAUAAUAUCAGGGACUAGGCUUUGAAAUGAGCAUCUAUUAUAUCAAGUAACGUUUCGAGGCGUGAUUCUGCUUUAAUCUCUUCUUCCUAGUUGUCUGCCUUGCCGGAAAAUUCUCUUGAUUGAUUUUGUUUGUCUCUGAAAACUCCCAAACCAAACUUGAGAGAACUCUGUAGGUGGUCUCCGAGUCUAAAUAAAAAAGAAAACUGUGGCAUAUAUUUAAUAUAAUACUAUAUAAUAGUAUUCAAGCCUAGGCAAUGACAGAUUUUUUCUUUUUUUUUUCCUUUUUGAGAGAAAGAUAGUAGUAUGCUUUUUGCUUUGUUUAUUUUUUUUUAAAAAUAAAGUUAGCUGAAAAUAUGAAUCAAUUAGAAUUCGAAUUCGAGACCUCAGCUAUCAAUCACUAAACUCUUUGUCAUUUACACUAGAGUCAGUGCAACCACAGGAAAAUUAAGCUCACAGAAGUAUGGUUGGUGGGGGGUUAACAUUCUUAGUAUUAAGGUUUUUCAUUUUUUGGAUAGCUAGUUAGGAAUAUAUGAGAAUAAGUUCAAAAUUGUGUUUGGUUAAAAACUUCUCUUAUUCUUAAGAAUUAGUUAAUAAAAUAUUUGAUAGAUAUCCCAAAAAUAAUAGAAAAUAAUGAGAAAACUAUAUAUAUAUAGAGAGAGAGAGCUAAACUGGAAUACUAUUUAUAGCAAAAGAUUUUUUUUGCUAUCAAGUUUGUAAUCCUUAGAUGAGAAAUUGUAGGGUUAGAAUGAUAUUAAUCCUUAGGGUUGAGUGAUCCCCACUGGAUUAUAAUAUUUAAUCCAAUGGUGAGAAAUGAUGAAAGCAAUUAACUCAAAGGUUAAAAACUUGAUAACAAAAAAUACUUUUUGCUAUCAAUAGCAUUCUAGCCCAACUAUAUAUAUAUAUAUAUAUAUAUAUAUAGAAUUAAGCUAGAAUACUUUUAAAAGUAUCACCCCAUUGGUGCUUUUAGGUUUCUAGCCCUUGGAUCUACUCCUUGAUUACUAAUAGCCAUUGGAUCAAAUACUAUUCCACCUACGACCACCUACGACCAUCUACCACCAUCAUCACAACCUUACAUUCCUCCAUUCAAUGGUAAAAACUCAAAAGCACCAUCUCAUUGGUGCUUUUGAGAGUAUUCUAGCUCAACUCUCUCUCUCUCUCUCUCUAUAUAUAUAUAUAUAUGAGGCUGGUAUGCUUCUGGAAGGAUGGAGCGCUCCGUGCUUCCAUAUCGUUUUUGAUGUUGGGACUUUUGAAUCGACGAUCAGCUCCGUUAGACUUGAUAUAGAGUAUUUUAAGUAUCUAGAAAAUAAAUUUUGUAAUUUUUUAUAUCAUUCGCCUAAUGAUCGAAGUGGCUCAAAAUCAACGGCUGAAAAUAAAAAUCUUACAAAAUAUGACGAUAUGACAUUAAAAUUUUAGAUCAAAAAUAUUUUUACCCGCUUUGUUUAUUUCAUUUAGAAAUAAACUUAGCUGGAAAUGUGAACCAACUAGGAUUCGAACUUGGGUCUCGGGUAUCAACCACCAACCCCUUUGCCACUUGCUCUAGGGACGGUCGAUUUUAGAUCAAAAUUAUUGAUCUUGUUUUAUAUAGUAUAAAAAAUUUUCUAUCAAAAUUUCACGUGAUUUGAAUAUUUCUACACCGUUAAACUUGCAAAUGGCUCACCAUGGCUAUUAAAAUGAUUGAUUUUGAGCCCCUUCGAUCACUAGGCAAAUGAUAUCGAAAAAUUACAAAAUUUAUUUUCUAGGUUGUCACGACCCGGCGUUGCUAAUUUGGACAGCUCGGGCCCGAAACAGACCCGCUGAACGGACAGAGUUUCUCCUGCCUGCCCAAGGCGUAACAAAGUCUAUGCAUACAUAUCCAAGUAAGAGAUAUUAGUAUCAAACAUUUACGAGAGGCAUAUCGCAUAUGCAAGAGAAUUUAAACUAUCUAUUACAAUAUUUGCACAUUUACAUUGUUUAACUUAUUACAACUUUUCUUUACAUACAAAAUAAUAACCUCACAUACAUACAUAUCACUUUUCUUUCUCAAAAGCUUUUACAUGUUUUUUUCUUUUCUUGCUUGCUAUGCACAAGGGUAGAUGAUCUAGCCCCGAGGUCCCGCUAUCUAGGGCUCGAUGCCCUUGCCGCGAUCCUCGACGAAUGCGCUCGUGCUUGGCUCUGCAAAAUAGGGUAUGAGAACUAAACAAAGUUCCCAGCAGAUUCGGCUGUCGACCCUGCCAAUUUUCUCACUAAGUCUAAGAAGGUAUAGAGACAAGAAUAUGUCACUAUGACAAAGAAAUAAUGAAUAGAAACAAUAAGCCUAACUUGCUCAUCAUAUACAAUUAUAUCAUGCUUCAAUGAUAUCUACUAUGCCUUUACCAAAAACAACAUAUCAAUGUUCUACUAUGUAUGCAUCAUAUAUGAAAUGUCAUUACCAUGCCUUGAUCCAAAUCCAAUCGGUUCGCCCAAGGGUCAAACCACAACUCGCCACACACUAUCACCUCUGUGACCGUCUGUCGGGGGCGCACCGUCGUGACUCUCUUCCCCAUCUCAAUCUAAUUGUGACAUUCCGGAGCUCACGGCUUGGGAGUCGCGACCUCCACAAGCCGCAACAGACAACGCGAGUAUGAUCAAGUCCUCCCGCCCGAGGACCUCGGGAAUCCCACAUCCCAAAUAAUCACAAGGCAUGCAAUGCUCAACAUCGGCCACAUAUGCAAUAAUUUUCAACUCUCAUAGUGUCAUAAAUCUACAUAUCUAGUUCAUAUGAAUCUAGCAUGUUCUCACAACAUAUCCACAUGCGUAUGUCCACUAGCAUCUCAUUCAACAUACAUAUAUACAUCUAUCUCGACAUCAUGCAAAUAAAUACACCUACAAGUAUCAUGCAACAUGAAUCAUCAUUUCUCAUACUAAAGUAUGAAUUUAACAAAAACUCAUAGGUUUACCAACACAAUAUCAAUGCAUGAUGCUACAUGACCAAUAUGUAGAACUUAGACAUAAAAUGAAAUUCGGCUAAUUCGAAUAGCACCCCCCACUUUGAGUCGACGUCACAAAGUGGGAAAGCCAAGCUGUGCGAUUUAUCUUCGUCAAUUUCAUCCGACUGCGGCAAACGAAGCAAAAACGGGGUUUUCUCCAAAUUGACCACCGUAAGCUCAACGAGACUCAAUCUACGUAGUCCACUGCAUCGGUUUUACCUUCAAUUGCGGAAACAUAGGACCAAUUAAGAUCAAAACCCAUUUUAAUCAAAAGCCCUCUUUUGAAACCCUAGAAUGCAAAAUAUCCAAAACUCUCUAUGAUUUAUGCAAUAAUCUAGGUUGGAAUCAUAUAGGGUUUCCAUUUAUCACACUUCUAAGGCUUUACACCAAAACCCUAACUUAAAACCUCCAAAUCUUACAAAACUCACCUCAAACCAAAGCUCUCCUCCAAGCCAAGCUUGCACGAGAGGGUUGCUUCACCUUCCAAGCAACCUCCUCUUCACUUCUUGGAGCAAACCCUAGAGAGGGAGUGAGAGGUUUAGAGAAAGAAAGAGAAGUUUCUCUUAGGUUGUGGUGUGAAGGGAAUGAGAGGAGAAAGGGUCAAGAACCCACUUAUAAACUUUCCCACAAGCAUAAUUACACCUUAGCCCUUCACACAACUGAGUUUGGCUCAACCCAAACUUUGCGUGUUCGGGGUCCGGAUCCUACAGCCAGGGUCCGGACCCCGAGAUCAUUUCCAGCUCAAACAGCUUGGAAUUUUUCCAACUUGUUCUCCAAGGUCCCAAACACUAGUUUAACUAUUUCGAAGCACUCGGAACAUUUAACGAACCUCUCCAAAUCGUCCAUUAUCACACUUCGGUCAAUUUGACUAAAGUUUGGCAUGGCGCACUGGGGAUUCAGUACACUACAUAGGUACUUCAAAUACUCUAGAUCAAGUUUAACGGAGCCGAUCGUCAAUUCGAAAGUCCUAACAUCGAAAACGACUUGGAAGCACGGAAGGCUCUGUGCUUCCAAAAGCAUACCAACUCACUAUAUAUAUAUAUAAACAAUACAAAAUAAAAUAAUAUACUUUAACAGAGUCCGGCUACAAUAUGGGCAAUAGCACCAACCACUUAAUGCUAUCAAGUUUUUCACCGUUAGAUUUACCCCUUUGAUCAUUUUCAUUCGUUAGAUUAUACUAUUCAACCAACCACCCACUAAACCCAAGGGACCAUUAUCAUCCUAACCACACAUCUCUUCGUUCAAGGGCCGAAAACCUAAUAGCUCUAAUAACUUGGUGCUAUUAAUAGUAUUCUAGCCUAAUUCUACUUUAACAUAUUAUACACUAUAAUACAUGCUAUUUUAUUUAUUUCAUAAUAAUAGUAUUACUUCUGGUACUAACAACAACAAUAAUAAUAAAUAUUAUUAUUACUAUUAUUAUUAUUAUUAUAAAAUAUAAAUAUAAGAAAGUAAAAUAAAUAUUAUUUUAUUAUUAAUUAUUUUUAUUUUUAUAUUUAUUUUAUUUAGCUAAGUAUAAGCAUGAUUAUCUCUUUCUCUUUUUUUUUUAAUUAGUUAGAUAUAAGGAUGAAAAUAGCUUUAUUACAUUAAAAAGGUGAAAUAGUUGUUUUCAGGUUAUUCUAGGAUUACCUAUAAUAAUCUGGUUUGACCGGAAUCGCUGUUCUAACCAUUUUUUUAAGGCGUUUGGUAAAAUAACGAGGAUAAAUUUUGUUUUUUCUAGUUUAUUCCCGUACCAAACAUGCAUGAAGGAUGUGGGGGUUGAAAGGAAAAUAGGAACAAGUCAUUUAUUUGAAGGAUGUGGGGGUUGGAAUGGGUAUCUCACUUGGUGUGAGGAAUUGACAUUUUGAUUUUUAUUCCUGAGGAGAAUCAAAUCCCCCAAAAUGAUUUCCAAUAUGGAGUUGGGAACCAGCUUUGAUUCUGAAAGACAUUGAGAAAAUAACUUUUUUUCACCAUCAAUUCUUUAUCUUCAAAAUAUUUAAUCUAUAUUCAACUUUCAAAUUAAUAAAUUCUAAAUAUAAAAUUGAAUUUGAAUGAUGAAUUCAAAAUUUAAUUUUUAAUUACUUAAGUUUAAAUGCAAAUUGUAAUACAAGUUUGAUAUUUUAAAAUUAUUUCUAAAUUCAAACUUUUGACUUUGAACAUGAAUUUGUAUUGUAAAUUUAAAUUUGAAGUUCAAAUUUUGUGAUUCAAAUAUUGAUUACAAGUUUGCAUAGUAGAUUUAAAUUUUAAAUAAAAUUUUGAUUCUUCGAAUUUUAAUUUGAAUAUGAUUCUGAUUCCGAUCCUUCUUGUGAAGCAAACAAAUUAGAGUUUUCAUCGUUCCGUUUUCGAUUUUUGUCCAUUUUCAUUCCUAUUCCUAUUUCGGUUCCUAUUUUCAACCUAAUAUGCGCUUAAUUAAAGUAAUUACUAAAAUCACACACCCAAUUUUCAAACAAGUAGAACAGCUAAUGUCGAAUCGCAUUGCAGGUAGAACAGCUAAUGUAUAGCAAGAAAGGUUUCCGUUAAGAGGUAGUCAGAUAGAAUUUGUAACUAACAAUUCUAUUCAGCAGCGCAAAAGACAUAAGAUUGUAUUUGCAUUUUUAAUGUACGAUAGAUAUGUUUGAUUUGAUGUUAGUAUUUUAUAUAGAAUAUUUGUUAUGGAGAAAACUUUAUCAUGCUUGGCCUUUGUUCGGCGAAAAUUGUUAGGCCGAAUAGUUAAAAGUAUCAAAAAAAGAAAAAACUUUGAAUUUUAUUAUUAUUAUUAUUUUUGAUUAAACAGGGAUGAACCCUAUUUACAGAAGCGUUUAGACGAAAACCGAGUAAUGAUACCCGAGCACACCCCCAUGCACGAUACAGAGAAUAUCCCAAUCUCACCCUCGGCACUAGCUCUAACAAAGCAGAUCCCGAGCACACCCCCAGACAAAAACACAAGCACACUAGCACAAUUAAGCACAACUAGCACACCUAUAACCUAGUUGACAGAGGUAAAGAACACCAUUUUCCAAUAAGAUACAGUUUGAAGAAUGUUUGAACCCAGUGUCUCGCUCGUAGCGGAUUCGACGAUUGUCGAAUAGUCUUCUAUUACGCUCCUUCCAGAUCUCCCAAUAGGCUGCUGCGAUUCCGAGGUCGAGAGUGGUUCGAAUUUCACCUGAGACCGUUUGCCGCAAUCGACGCCAUCGUGUUGCAAGUCCUUCAGUUGUGUUGCUUGCUUCUCCAAUCUAGGUUGAAAGUGAGUCUAUUCGUUAACCAAUCCCACACAGAAACUGCAUAGAAGCAGUAAUGCAUAAUAUGCUCGACGGACUCCGCAUCGGAGUGGCAGAGGGUGCAAAAGACAUAAUAUGCUUCGUUUAUUUCAUUUAGAAAUAAACUUAGCUGGAAAUGUGAAUCAACUAGGAUUCGAACAUGGGCCUCGGGUACCAACCACCAAGCCCUUUGCCACUUUUCUCUUCAGACGUAUUUAUAAUCUCUCAAAUCCAACUUCGAAUCCUACAAAACCUCGGCCAAAUUUCGAAAUGUUCUCUUGCAGUUCUCUUUUUCCCUAUCAUGAAUGACUGAGAUCGUUUGAUGUAACAGUUUAAACUUUUUCCUUCCUUCUGAUUCAAGUUUGUCUAUCUUAUUAAGCAGUAACGGUUCAGGUCAGCUUGCGUCUUAGAAAUCCUGAAUUUUCAUGUCAACAAUGCCCCCCUCAUCGCCUGAAAACGAAUUUUGAACUCGGCAGGAUUCAAAAAACAUACAGAAAUGUUCAAUGUAUAUGUAAAAUAUUUGAUUAUAUAAUUAAAAGUGAAUUAAAAUUUCGAUACUUUUAAUCUAAAACACAUACUUAAAUUUUGAGUUCGUUAAAGCUUGAAAAAUAUAUAGAAAUAUUAUAUAUAUAUACAGAAUUGAGCUCCUAUGCUUUUAAAAGUACAAAGUCAUUGGUGCUUGUACAUUUGUAGCCUUUGGAUUAAGAGGUACGCAGUUAGGAUCGAUGAUAGUGGUCCCCUAGAGUUGAAUGUGUGGUUGGUUGAAUAGUAUAAUCUAACGGAUAGAAAUGAUUAAAGAGAUAAAUCUAACAGUAGAAAAAUUACAAGCACCAAGUGCUUGGUGCUUGUACAAGCACCAUAGCCAGACUCAAUAUAUAUAUAUAUAGAGAGAGAGAGAGAGAGAGAGAGAGAGAGUUCGGCUAGGAUACUAUCGAUGGCACCAAGGGUUUGGUGCUAUCGAGUUUUCCACCGUUAGAUUUAAUUCAUUGAUUAUUUUUACCCGUUAGAUUAUAUUAUUCAACCACCCACCCACUCAUAAGAGCUAAAAAAUUAAUAGCACCAAUAGCUGCUUGGUGCUAUAUAUAUAUAUAUAUAUAUAUAUAUAUAUGAGUAAGGCUACUAUGCUAUCGGAAGCACGGAGUCUUCCGUGCUUCCAGCUCGUUUUCGAUGUUGCGACUUUCGAAUCGUCGAUCGACUCCGUUAAACUUGAUCUAGAGUAUUUAAAGUAGCUAGAAAAUAAAUUAUGCGAUUUUUCGAUAUUAUUUACCUAGUGAAUGAAGGUGCUCAAAAUCAACGGCUGAAAAUAAAAAUCUUACAAAAUGUGAUAAUAUGACAUUAAAAAAUAUCAAAAUCACGUGAAAUUUUGAUAGAAAAUUCUUUAUACUAUAUAAAACAAGAUCAAUAUCUUUGACCUAAAAUUUUAAUGUCAUAUUAUCACAUUUUGUAAGAUUUUUAUUUUAAGCCGUUGAUUUUGAGCACCUUCAUUCACUAGGUAAAUAAUAUCGAAAAAUCGCAUAAUUUAUUUUCUAGCUACUUCAAAUACUCUAGAUCAAGUUUAACGGAGUCGAUCGACGAUUCGAAAGUCGCAACAUCGAAAACGAGCUGGAAGCACGGAAGACUCCGUGCUUCCGAUAGCAUAGUAGCCUUACUCAUAUAUAUAUAUAUAUAUAUAUAUAUAUAUAUAGCACCAAGCAGCUAUUGGUGCUAUUAAUUUUUUAGCUCUUAUGAGUGGGUGGGUGGUUGAAUAAUAUAAUCUAACGGGUAAAAAUAAUCAAUGAAUUAAAUCUAACGGUGGAAAACUCGAUAGCACCAAACCCUUGGUGCCAUCGAUAGUAUCCUAGCCGAACUCUCUCUCUCUCUCUCUCUCUCUCUCUCUAUAUAUAUAUAUAUUGAGUCUGGCUAUGGUGCUUGUACAAGCACCAAGCACUUGGUGCUUGUAAUUUUUCUACUGUUAGAUUUAUCUCUUUAAUCAUUUCUAUCCGUUAGAUUAUACUAUUCAACCAACCACACAUUCAACUCUAGGGGACCACUAUCAUCGAUCCUAACUGCGUACCUCUUAAUCCAAAGGCUACAAAUGUACAAGCACCAAUGACUUUGUACUUUUAAAAGCAUAGGAGCUCAAUUCUGUAUAUAUAUAUAAUAUUUCUAUAUAUUUUUCAAGCUUUAACGAACUCAAAAUUUAAGUAUGUGUUUUAGAUUAAAAGUAUCGAAAUUUUAAUUCACUUUUAAUUAUAUAAUCAAAUAUUUUACAUAUACAUUGAACAUUUCUGUAUGUUUUUUGAAUCCUGCCGAGUUCAAAAUUCGUUUUCAGGCGAUGAGGGGGGCAUUGUUGACAUGAAAAUUCAGGAUUUCUAAGACGCAAGCUGACCUGAACCGUUACUGCUUAAUAAGAUAGACAAACUUGAAUCAGAAGGAAGGAAAAAGUUUAAACUGUUACAUCAAACGAUNAUCAAGUCUAACGGAGCCGAUCGUCGAUUUGGAAGCCGCAUCAUCGAAAACAACUUGGUAGCACGGGAGGCCCCGUGCUACCGAUAAUAUAGCAGCUGGGCUAUAUAUAUAUAUAGUGCAGAGCUACUAUGCUAUCGGAAGUAUAGAGAAUCUGAUGCUUUCAACUUUUUGACCAUUGGAUAAAAAAUUAUACGGUUGGGAUGAUUGCUGGCCCCCCAGGGUUGAGUAAUACCCAUAGGGUUGAGUGGUCCCCAUAGGUUAAUAGUAUUAAUCCAAAGGUUAGAAAUAAUUAAAGGGGUUGAUCUAAGGGCCAAAAAAUCGAAAGCACAAGAUCCUCUAUACUUCCGAUAGCAUAGUAGCUCUACUAUAUAUAUAUAUAGACAGAGAGUGGGCUGGUUUGCUUCUGGAAGUACGGAGCCCUUAGUGCUUCCAAGUUGUUUUCGAUGUUCGGACUUUCGAAUCGACGAUCAGCUCCGUUAGAGUUGAUCUAGAAUAUUUGAAGUACCUAGAAAAUAAAUUUUGUGAUUUUUCGAUAUCAUUUGCUUAGUGAUCGAAGGGGCUCAAAAUUAAUAAUUUUAAUGGCCGUGGUGAGCCGUUUGCAAGUUUAACGGUGUAGAAAUAUCCAAAUCACAUGAAAUUUUGAUAGAAAAUUCUUUAUACCAUAUAAAACAAGAUCAAUAACUUUGAUCUAAAAUUUUAAUGUCAUAUCAUCAUAUUUUGUAAGAUUUUUAUUUUCAACCGUUGAUUUUGAGCCACUAAGAUUUUUAUUUUCAGCCGUUGAUUUUGAGCCACUUCGAUCACUAAGCAAAUGAUGUCGAAAAAUAGCAAAAUUUAUUUUCUUGAUACUUCAAAUACUCUAGAUUAAGUCUAACGGAACCGAUCGUCGAUNUAUAUAUAUAUAUAUAUAUAUAUAUAUAUAGAAUUAGGCUACUAUACUAUCUAUAGUACCGGAGCUCCGGUACUAUAGUCUUGUUUUCGAUCUUAGGAUGUUCAAAUUAAUGAUCCACACCGUUAAAUAUGAUCGAGGAUAUAUAAAGUUUUUAGGUAUAAAAUUUUAGUUUUUUUCGACAUCGUUUACUUAGUAAAUAAAUUAUGUCAAAAUGGACGGUGGAAAUUGAAUAAUAUUUAAAAAUUAAGCAUAGGACUUUUAAAUUCGAGAUCAAGAAUGUUAACCAUAAUCUAGAUAGUUUAAAGUAUUUUCUAUCAAAAUUUGAAGAGAGAAAUUUAGAUUCUUCUACACCCUUAAACUCCAAACUCACCAUAGUAGCCAUUGAAAAUUGACAAUUUUGAAAUGGUUUGAUCAUAAAGUAAACUAUGUCGAAAAAAUAUAAAAUUUUAUCUAAAAAUUUUAAAUACCCUAGAUUAGUUUUAACGGUAUGGAUCGCUGAUUUGAACACCCUAAGAUAAAAAACGGGGCUAUAGUACCGGAGCCCCGGUGCUAUAGAUAGUAUGGGAGACUAGCUCUCUCUCUAUAUAUAUAUAGUAGGGUUACUGUACUCUUAUGAGUAUAGAAUAUUUCAUACUCAUAAGUUGAUUUCGAUGAUGGAGCUCCUGAAUCGACGAUCCACUCCGUUAAAUAUGAUUUAGAGUAUUUGGAACUUCUAGAAAAUAAAUUUCGUAAUUUUUUGAAAUCAUAAUAAAGUCCAUCACGUGGGUAUAAAAUAAACAGUCAAAAUCGAAUGACGUCCUAAAAAUAAAUGAUCGGAUCCUUCAAUUUAAGAUCGGAGUGAUUGAUCUUUAUCUAGGUAGUGAAUAGAAUUUUCUAUCAAAAAUUCAACUGAUUUUGAUUCUUUUGCACCGUUAAACUACCAAGUAUCCCAUACCAAUCGUUACAAAUUAUCAAUUUUGUGGCCUUUUGAUCGUAAGGUAAAUGAUGUCGAAAAAUUAUAAAAUUUGAUUUCUAGAAAUUUUAAAUACUCUAGAUAACGUUUAACGGUGUGGAUCGUCAAUUCGAACGCUCUAUCAUCGAAAACGACUUAUCAGUAUAUAGAGUCCGACUAUACUCUUAUGAGUACGAUCGCGCUCAUUCUCAUAAGUCGUUUUCGAUGAUAGGGCAUUCGAAUCGACGAUCCACACCGUUAAAUGUUAUCUAGAGCAUUUAAAACUUCUAGAAAUCAAAUUUUAUAAUUUUUCGACAUCAUUUACCCUAGAGUCCGGCUACUAUACUCUCAUGGGUACGAUAGCCCUCGUACUCAUAAGUUGUUUUAGAUAAUAGAGCUUCCGAAUUGACGAUCCAUACCGUUAAACAUUAUCUAGAGCAUUUGAAACUUCUAAAAAUCAAAUUUUGUAAUUUUUUGACAUCAUUAACCUACGAUCAAAAGGUCACAAAAUUGACAAUUUUUAACGGCCGGUAUGAGAUAUUUGGUAGUUUAACGAUGUAAAAGAAUCGGAAUCGGUUGAAUUUUUGAUAGAAAAAAUUCUAUUCACUACAUAGAUAAAGAAAAAAUAACUCUGAUCUUAAAUUGAAAGAUCAAAUUAUCCAUUUUUAAGACGUCGUCCGAUUUUGACCGUUCAUUUUAUACCCCGCUUGAUGAACUUUAUUAUGAUUUCGAAAAAUUACGAAAUUUAUUUUCUAGAAGUUUCAAAUACUCUAAAUCAUAUUUAACGGAGUGGAUCGUAGAUUCGGAAGCUCCAUAAUUGAAAACAACUUAUGAGUAUGAAGGGCUCUAUACUCAUAAGAGUAUAGUAGCCCUAUCAUAUAUAUAUAUAUAUAUAUAUAUAUAUAUGAGCUCCUAUGCUUUAAAAGUACCAAGUUACUGGUGCUUGUAGAUUUUUGGCCAUUGAAUUAAGGGAUGUGCGGUUAGGAUGAUGUGGGCCCCCUAAGGUUAAGCGGGUGGUUGGUUGAAUAGUAUAAUUUAACGGUUGAAAAUGAUCAAAAGCGUAGAUCUAACGGUAAAAAAUUUACACAAGUACCAAGUGUUUGGUGCUUGUAAAAGCACCAUAGCCGGACUCUCCCUCUCUCUCUCUCUCUCUCUAUAUAUAUUAUACACUUGAAGUAUCUAGAAAUCAAAUUUUGAAUCUUUUUGACAAAGCAUGAAAUUUAGUUUCUAGGUACUUUAAGUGGUAUAAAUUAUAUUCAACGGUGUCGAUCGUUGAUUUGGAAGCUCCAUUAUCGAAAACAAAUGGGUGGCAACGGAGCCCGUUUGCUAUCGAUAGCAUUCCAACUCAACUCUCUCUCUCUAUCUCUCUAAUAUAUAUAUAUAUAUAUAUAUAGACUCAUAAGAGUAUAGCAGCCCUACUCUAUAUGAGUCCGGCUACUAUACUCUUAUGAGUACGAUCGCCCUCGUACUCAUAAGUUGUUUUCCAUGAUAGAGCUUCCGAAUCGACAAUCCACACCGUUAAACGUUAUUUAGAGCAUUUAAAACUUCUCGAAAUCAAAUUUCAUAAUUUUUCGACAUCAUUUACCUUACGAUCAAAAGCUCACAAAAUUGACAACUUUUAACGGCCGGUAUAGGAUACUUGCUAGUUUAACGGUGGAAAAGAAUCAGAAUAAGUUGAAUUUUUGAUAGAAAAUUUUAUUCACUACCUAAAUAAAGAUCAAUAACUCCGAUCUUAAAUUGAAGGAUCCGAUCAUCCAUUUUUAGGACAUCAUUCGAUUUUGACCGUUCAUUUUAUGCCCACUUGAUGGACUUUAUUAUGAUUUCGAAAAUUACGAAAUUUACUUUCUAGAAGUUUCAAAUACUCUAGAUCAUGUUUAACGGUGUGGAUCGUCGAUUCGGAAGCCCCAACAUCGAAAACAACUUAUGAGUACGAAGGGCUCUAUACUCAUAAGAGUAUAGUAGCCCUACUCUAUAUAUAUAUAUAUAUAUAUAUAUAUAUAUAUAGAGUCCGGCUACUAUACUAUUAUAAGUACGAUCGCCCUCGUACUCAUAAGUUAUUUUUGAUGAUAGAGCUUCCGAAUCGACGAUCCACACUGUUAAACGUUAUCUAGAGCAUUUGAAACAUUUAGAAAUCAAAUUUCAUAAUUUUUCGACAUCAUUUACCUUACGAUCAAAAGCUCACAAAAUUGACAAUUUUUAACGGCCGGUAUAGAAUACUUGCUAGUUUAACGGUGCAAAAGAAUCCGAAUAGGUUGAAUUUUUGAUAGAAAAUUCUAUUCACUGCCUAGAUAAAGAUCAAUAACUCCGAUCUUAAAUUGAAGGAUCCGAUCAUCCAUUUUUAAGACAUCGUUCGAUUUUGACCGUUCAUUUUAUGCCUGCUUGAUGGACUUUUAUUAUGAUUUCGAAAAUUAUGAAUUUUAUUUUCUAGAAGUUUCAAAUACUCUAGAUCAUAUUUAACGGAGUGGAUCGUCGAUUCGGAAGCUCCAUCAUCGAAAAGAACUUAUGAGUACGAAGGGCCUAAUACUCACAAUAGUAUAGUAGCAUAAUUCAUAUAGAGUUCAGCUACUAUACUAUCGAUAGUACUAAGCCCUUUGUACUAUUGAGUUUUCUACCGUUAGAUCUACCCUUUGAUCAUUUCAACCCGUUAGAUUAUACUAUUAAACCAACCACCCACUCAACCCUAAGGGACCACUAUCACAUCCUUUCAUCCAACGGCCAAAAACUCAAUAGUAUCAAAGACUUGGUACUAUUGAUAGUAUAGUAGCAUAAUUCUCUCUCUCUCUCUCUAUAUAUAUAUAGAGAGAGUUGAGCUAGAAUACUAUCGAUAGCAAACGGGCUCCGCUGCCACCCAUUUGUUUUCGAUAAUAGAGCCUCCAAAUCGACGAUCGGCAUCGUUGAACAUGAUCUAUACCACUUGAAGUGUUUAGAAAUCAAAUUUGAAAUCUUUUCGACAUCAUUUGCCUAAUGAUCAAAAGGUUUCAAAUUUUGUAAUUUUAAUGGUCGAUAUGAGGCGUUUUCUCGUUUAACGGUGUAAAGAUAUCCAAAUCAAUUAAAUUUUUAUUAAAAAAUUCUUUAAACUAUUUAAAACAAGAUCUAUACUAUUGAUCUUGAUUACAAGACUCCUAUCAUUAAUUUUUAAAGAAUAUUCAUUUUUAGCCAUUCAUUUUUGUGUCCACUCGAUGGAUAAGAGAACAAUGUUGAAAUUGUAUGAAAUUUGAUUUCUAAACACUUCAAGUGGUAUAGAUCCUGUUCAACGGUGCCGAUCGUCGAUUUGGAGGCUCCAUCAUCGAAAACAAAUGGGUGGCAACGGAGCCCGUUUGCUAUCGAUAGUAUUCUAGCUCAACUCUCUCUCUCUCUCUCUCUCUCUCUCUCUAUAUAUAUAUAUAUAGCAGGACUGCUAUGCUCUUAGGAGCACGGAGGCCUCUAUGCUCUUGAGCCGUUUUUGAUGAUGGAAUUUAUGAAUUGACGAUCGGCUCUGUUAGACUUGAUCUAGCGUAUUUGAAGUUUCUAGAAAAUAAUUUUUUUGAUUUUUUGAUAUCAUUCAUCUAGCAAUUGAAAAAAUUCAAAAUCAUUAAUUUUUAACGGCUGAAAAUAAAAAUUCUAUAAAAAGUGGUGAUAUAGCAUUAAAAUUUUCGAUCAAAAAUAUUGAUCUUGUUGUAGAUAGUAUAAAAAAUUUUGUAUCAAAAUUUCAUCUGAUUUGAAUACUUCUACACCAUUAAACUUGAAAACGACAGAUAUCAACCAUUAAGAAUUUUGUAUCAAAAUUUCAUCUGAUUUGAAUACUUCUACACCAUUAAACUUGAAAACAGCAGAUAUCAACCAUUAAAAAUUAUUAAUUUUGAAUCCUUUCGAUCACUAGGUAAAUGAUAUUAAAAAAUCGCAAAAAUUAUUUUCUAGAAACUUCAUAUACCCUAGAUCAAGUUUAACGGAGCCGAUCGUCGAUUUGAAAAUUCCAUCAUCGAAAACGGCUCAGGAGCACGGAGGCCUCCGUGCUCCUAAGAGUACAGCAGCCCUGCUCUCUCUCUCUCUCUCUCUCUCUCUCUCUCUCUAUAUAUAUAUAUAUAUAUAUGACAAAACAGAGAAAAUGAAAGCAAAAGCCUUAAGGUGGUAGAGGUUCAACCUGCAAUAAUUAGAGUCACUAUUCUAAAAGAGAGGCACACCAACAAAAUAUUUCUAUGCAUUUCCAUGUCUAAAAUCAACAUUACAUUCUCAACAAAUUGCACAUAGAUACAUAAAUUUGUUUCAUCAUAAAUACUCCUAGCAUACAAAACCACAAAGAUUCUGUGAGGAAAAGUAAAAAAAAACAAACAAACAAAAACCAAAAAGUCCUCAACAUCAUCACCCCUUUCACUAUGUAAAAUGAAACAGCACUUACAAAAUGCUGGUAUGCACCUAAUAAUAACUUCCAUUUGUUUGCUGACACUGCAGAUAAGCAGGAGGUAUCUUUUGCUGUUUAAUACCCCUGGGCUGUAUUAAAACAGAGUCGAUGCAGAGACCUCCUUUAGUAUGUGUGCAAUCGAUCUGAGUCAUUGAGAACUUGACGUUUAUCGGAGCAAAAGAAUCUCUUACAGCAAAAUCUCCCACAUGGUAAUAUACCCACAUGCCGGGUUCCUCUAAAUAACACUUGGACUGGGCUUGCUGGCCAUCGGAAGUUGAUAAAUGAAACCACACAGGCUUUAUAUCCCACCCGUGGAUGUGCUCGGGGCUACAAACUCGUCUACCGAGCCGCUUGUAGGCCCGGCCCAGAUGAAGCCGGAAGAAUAAGCUAUAAGUGCCUUCUGGGAAGCCGAAGUCAAUCUCUCCCCUCACUUCGAGCCACCAUAUUUGAUGGAGAUAAGCAACUGUGUGAAAUCUGCACGAAUUUACAAUUUACGGUUUAAGUUUCACAUCAUUUCACAUUUUUACGGAUAAAGGAAAACAACUUCAAAACUGAAGUUCAGUUUGAAGAUAAAAUAACCACUCACUCUCUUCUUGUUCAGUUAAGGAAUUAACUCAGCUCCCUAAUUAGUCUACAGGGCUUAUUUUUUGCAAUAACGAAUUACGAAAUGGAACUGGAUUUUAGCAAGCCAACAAACCUAUUAGUGCAGGUGGAUGUGAACUGCAGAAAUGUAUCAUUGAAUAUGGGCCUAGUUACACUAUCUGCAUUGAACUUAGGGGCGUUCCACUUUCUACAAUGUAGUUAGGGUUGUUUCACUUUCUACAAUGUACUUCUAUUUUUCCCCCACUCCCACUAAAUUUCAGGUUCUAUAGCAAUUUCUGGACUCCAUUUAUAGAUGGCAGAAAUUUAAACUAUUUCUGCUAACUACAGCUUCAAUCUUCAUGCAAGAACUUGCUAAGACUUGAUUUGGAGGAUCCUCAAUCUUAGGAGAUUUUUUGCUUAGCGAAAAAUGGAUAGAAGUAACAAUGAGGAGAGUGUUAAAAGUUCAAAUCCAAAAUUUCUCUUCUUGUAGACUAUAAUGAGGGUUGCCAUGAAAAUAAACCAAAAAAGUUUGCAAAUGUCCAUAUCCUAUAAACUUGGCUUCUUCUAAAUUAUCCUACAAGACCUAUAAGCUUAAACGGCACUCUAUCAGCAUCAGUAGUAAAUUGUACAGAAUCGUCAACUGAGUUUCUUAGAAAGCAAAAUCAUCAUAAAAAGAAUUGCGUCAGGGAUAUACGAGGAACUGAUACUAAGGACUAAAAAGCAUGGUAGUACACCCUUCAUAAAUAUGGUCCCAGGUAGAGACAACAAAAAAAAAAAAUGAUGCAUGUAUUAUGUUUUGUCCAGUUACCAAUGAUCUCUACUCCAAUAUGAAAGAGUAUCUUGAUCUCUUUAACUUCCAAACCUUCCCCAAGCCAUUUAGCAACCGUAAGAAGACUUUAACAAUUAACAAGAAAAAAGCCAUAUACACGGCUAUAAAUUACAUCCACCAAAUCUUUAUGAUAGUUUCCAAGAUAGCAAGAAGAGAAAUAAAUAAAUUAUUUCCCAAGCUAAUAAAAUGAAAAUGAUCUCUCUUAUGGCCGAUAAGAAAAAAAAUUAAGCUAACCAUGUAGUAUCAGACUUGAAAUGACUGAAUAUAUGUGACUCAUAAUGGCCAAACAUUAUUUGACACUUUGAAAUGUAAUUCCUAACUUUGGAAACUUCAAAGGAGUAAAAGUCCUGGUGUCAAUAUGAGCUGUUAUUUUCUAGACGUCUGCACGAGAAAAAUAAACAGCUGCUGCAGCUUUGUCACAUUUACCAAAUGCUGAAGUAUAGAGUGAAUAAUUUUGCAACUGACCAUUUUCUUUUUUCUCGCCAAUACGUAGACGACAAUUUUAUUUAUUUAUUUUUCCCUUGCACAACAAGGGGUGUGGAAAACAUGUACAAGUAUAUGUCAUAAUUUAUAAACAUCACAAAUGUGUAGUACAGAAAAAUUCCUUUAAUGCAGUACACCUUCACUUAUUUUCAUACACAAGGAUGCAAUCAUCAAAACUAAAGCAACUAGAGGACACAUAAAAAAUUGGUACUUGCAAAUAUAUAAUAGCAGUCUGCUACUAACGAUAGUAUGUUGUCCUGAGCUGUUUCAGAAAAUAACUGAGAUGAUGAUAGGUGGUUCAUGAUUGUCAAUCUCAUCAAGUUGUAACUGAUGAUGCGAAUUGGCAAUAUUAUUAAGCAGCGGUUUUGCAAAUGAUUGUGGUUGCCUAUUAUGUUGGCAACAACAAAGGUGGCCAGUAAAUAUGGUGACCAGGACCAGUGAUGGUGGUGGCAGACUGGCAGCAGUCCUUAGUGUCAGUUGUCAGUGGCAGCAGUGGUGGCCUGACGGUCAACUGACACCAACUGGCAGUGGUGCCAAUGGGCACUAGUAUAGGUUAUGGCGGAUGGCAGAGGUCACAACCACCGCGGGUAGCAAACACAAGUGAUGGUUUCAGUGGUGGCCUGAUGGUCAACUGACACCAACUGGCAGUGACGGGCAAUGGGCACUAGUAUAGGUUAUGGCGGGUGGCAGAGGUCACAACCACUGAGGGUAGCAAACACCAGUGAUGGUUUCAGUGAUGAUAUUAGCAAAAAGGGUGCCAGUUGAUGGUGGCACCUAGAUUGGUUGGCGUUCAUAGGUGAGUGAUGGUCAGUCACAAAAGCUGCUUACUUCGAGUCUGAGUCCAGUGGUUGUGAGAUCCCUGGUGUACGGCUGUGGAGGCUUGCCAACAGCUCUGGAGAGUGUCGAGAUAAGUUUGAGUCGCGUUGGCGUGAAAUGCAUGCAAAACAGACCCCCCGCGACGUGAACGUAGCACUUGGCGAGAAAAUCCGCAAAAUUGCAGGUUUUUUGCUUGCUGUACCGGUACAGCCAUCAAGGUGUACCGGUACACUUCAGCUAGCUACACGCGGGCUGCUCUCGGGUUAGCCUCUGUACUGGUACACCGACCCCUCGUACCGGUACACCAGGGUAGGUAAGGGGUGGUUUGGUCUUUUUCCCACUUCAUUCAUAUCACCCUUUCCCUCUCUCUCUAUUUAGGUUUGUGUAGAGCAGAGAGAGGGAGCUUUUUCUUCUUCUCCUCUCUCUCUCUAGCUGGGUUCUUGCGCACGGUGGAGCUCGGGUGGAGUUUGGAUUUCGUCGCCGACGUCGCGCCGCGGAGUCGUUCGAGCACGUGUUUGACGCCGGGGUAGCGCGAGGAGGCUGGGCGAGCGUAGGUUUUCGCCGUUCUUGCUAUCGCACCGGUGCUUGGUGUUGUCGAGGUGGGUAAUUCAGCAUUUCCUUUGUUUUUGGGCAAGUUCUUACUACUUCAACUCGGAAUGAUGUUGUUGCUGAAAUUCAUCGUCGACUGUUAGUAUUUCAGCUCGUACUCGACGUAGGAGCAUCGGAUUUCGACGAGACUUGGUUCGUUGGAUUCGGGACUUCGAGAAGAAUCCACGAAGCCCUUACUUGCCGGAUUUGGUGAAGGUUAGCUUGGUCGAAUCCCUUUUCUACUCUGUUGCUGCGAAAUUCGGACUGAAUUGGUGGAUUUUGAUCGUAGAGCUUGGAGUUAGCUCGAGUGCUAGACUUGGAGGGUUCCAGUUGAUCCAGCAGGGAUCACUUUGGUGCGAGGCUUCGUUCGCUACCAGGAGCUAGCUUCUUGAGGUGGGUUACAUCAGUUUUGACUCCUAAGUUCUAAUCGUCGACAUGUAUAAUUUUGAUUUUGGUAUACUCUAUUCUAGCUCGAAUUCAUGAAUUAUAUUGUAGAUUGCAAAUUUGAAUUUGGAGCAUGUGGUAAUAAGUUGAGUAGUUUAUACAUGUUGGACUUGGAAUUCGACUUAGGAGAAAACCUACGAUUGGGACCCGUCACUUGUUUAAACUGCCUGAUUUAGCUCUAAGAGUCGUUAUAAAAUUGUACUGUCGCAGUAUCUUUGAGACGAGUACUCCGGGUAGUUUAGAAUACAUUUACGCUCGUGCUGGUACGCCGAGUGGAUUUUUACAGAGUCAUUUCGCUGUUUCGGACUUUUGCGCCGUUGGAGUUGACGGUGGGCCCAGUUCGCCGUUUUGGCGUCAGAUUGUGCCGAGGGCACGUUACUUGUUUGUUGUUAGACCAGUUAGAGUCGGUUACUUAAACUUUGGCUUGACAGAGCCUGAUUAAGCUCAACAGAGAUACGCUGCAUACUCGGUUGGGUAGCGCCCACGAGUGCCACUCCGGAGACGGGCUUUGUGCUUUCGCGUUGGUGUCGCUCAUGCCAGUUGGACUUGCUCUCCACGGACCAGUUAGUGUGGAGGUAGCUGGAUAGUCACAACUGGGCAGGGACGGGUGUAUUCACAGUCCCAAGGACGGGUAGGUUUACAGUCCCGAUUGGAUUGGGUCCGAUUUGACAUUUCCUACAGUUGGUUAGUGUAGAGCAUGAUAGUGUAGUGAUUGAUAGCGGUAGAGUUUACUUCCUGCUUUUCCUACUAUCCUGGCUCCCCUCUGUAGACUUAGUGGGUGGACCGAUAUUGUUUGGGCUGCACCCACUGAGGACUACUUGUUUUUACAGUAGUUCUCACGCCCAGUUGUUACCCCUGUUUUGCAGAGCCACAGGUUCCGGCUGCUGCGCCUUCCGCGGAUCAGGAUCGAGGCAAGGGCGUCGCGAGUUAGAGCCCUACCCGAUGUGCUGAGCUAGAGGUGCCCCUACUGCAGGUAGAUUUUUUUUUUCGAGUUUAUGUACAUAGUAGACUUAACUCGCCAGUGCGAGUAGCUCUGUAUUUUGGAUUUGGACUAUGUAUAUGAAACUCAGUUUGUUUAGCUUAUGAUUCUCUAGCAGCUCUCUACUACUGUUCGUAGUAGUGUUGGAUUUACAGGUACAGCUAUCGCUUCGUUUACAGGAAAAAUUUUCUUUGUAUACGACGGAUUUGUCGGCGUGCUCGGGGAACGAGACAUUCGGGGCGUGACAGAUUAACUUGGUAUCAGAACUUUGCUGUAGGUCGUUGGGACCUAAGAAACCUAAGUUUGGCAAACCUUAGGAAGGCAAGACGUGAGAGGCGUAAUUUAUUGCGAAAGUCAAUGAUUAUUUAUUCUAACUCCUAGAGUGGAGUGAGUGACUGAAGGAGUUCCUGUUUUGGCCUGAGAAAUUAUGUUGGCUGCAGACAACAUAAUUUUGGAGGGAAACAGGGUCCGCCUUCCAGACUUUCGUUGAUUGGGUCAAAAGUGUUUGUGUUUCAACUGACCCCGAUCUGUUCUUUUCAGCUAUGUAUCGUCGCCGAGGCCAACCGUCGUUGCGGGAGCGUGCGCAGUUGGCACAGGAUCCUGCUAGAUCUCCCGAGAUGCCCGAGCAGGCAGAGCCGAGUGCACCACCAAAGGAAAGUGUACCCCCUGUUGUAGAGCAGAGGGCCCGACCGGAGGCGAGUGCAUCCCUGGAUUUGAGUGCACAGUUAGCUGCCCUCACAGAGGUGACGAGGUAGCAGGGGGAGAUGUUGCAAAGGUUGUGUGAGAGGGUGGCUCAGACAUCGAGUACAGUACCGAGAGCACCAGAGCAGGCCAUUCCGCCUCCGACUACUCCAAUGGUCGCACCAGCCGUAGCUGUACCCCCACCAGCAAAGUUUCCGGCCGCGCCAGUUGCGCCAGCUAGGGGACCGGUUUAGUUGACAGAGGCCGAGCAGGAGCGGUGGACAGAGAGGUUGGCCCGUUUCCGCCGUUUUGAUCACCGAUUUUCAAUGGCAGUUGCACUGAGGCCUGGAUUGUCGAGGGAUGGGUCAGUGCGAUGGAGAAGUUAUUUGAGGAUUUGUUUAUUCCAGAGGGGGAGCAGGUGUCUUUGGGAGUCCAUUGCUUGGCAGGUGAUGCCCACGUCUGGUGGAGGAGAGUGAGGAGAGAGCAGGGACUGGUGGCAUUGCAGCUGGGAUGGGAUGAGUUCUGUGGAAUGCUGUUUGGGAUGUUCUUUCCCAAUNAAGUGUACCCCCUGUUGUAGAGCAGAGGGCCCGACCGGAGGCGAGUGCAUCCCUGGAUUUGAGUGCACAGUUAGCUGCCCUCACAGAGGUGACGAGGCAGCAGGGGGAGAUGUUGCAGAGGUUGUGUGAGAGGGUGGCUCAGACAUCGAGUACAGUACCGAAAGCACCAGAGCAGGUCAUUCCGCCUCCGACUACUCCAAUGGCCGCACCAGCCGUAGCUGUACCACCCCCAGCGGAGUUUCCGGCCGCGCCAGUUGCGCCAGCUAGGAGACCGGUUCAGUUGACGGAGAUCGAGCAGGAGCAGUGGAUAGAGAGGUUGGCCCGUUUCCGCCGUUUCGAUCCGCCGAUCUUUGAUGGCAGUUGUACUGAGGCUUGAGUUGUUGAGGGCUGGGUCAGUGCGAUGGAGAAGCUAUUCGAGGAUCUUUUCAUCUCUGAGGGGGAGCAGGUGUUUUUGGGAGUCUAUUGUUUGGCAGGUGACGCCCACGCCUGGUGGAGGAGAGUGCGGAGAGAGUAGGGACUGGUAGCAUUACAGCUGAGUUUGGAUGAGUUCUGUGGAAUGCUGUUUGGGAUGUUCUUUCCCAACAGUGUGAAGCAGAAGCUCGAGGAGGAUUUGAGGAGGCUUCAGCAGGGGGAUCGGCCAGUGCAGGAGUACGUUCGAGAGUUUACUCGACUCCUGAACUGCAUGCCAUUUGUGGCCAGAGAUGAGGCCCGCAGGGUUUACAUGUUCGAGCAGGGGCUGAGACCGGAUAUUUUUAGGUUGACUCGGACGCAGAGGUCGAGGACUCUGGAUGCGUCUAUAGAGCAGGCCUUGUAGGUGGUGCGAGGUGAGGCAUCGCUGCAGGAGAGGACUCAGGCCGUAGGGCAGAGUCAGGACAGGAAGCGCCCCUUUCCAGAUGACGGUGGACAGUCGAGCAGCAGACGUCCGCCGAGGCCUCCACAAUCACGUUCUCAGGGUCGUGGGUUUUCGAGACGUCAGCGUUCCAGGGGAUCCCGUCAGCAGGGUCAGACUUAGAGGGCACUGCUGUGUGUGAUCUGCGGGGGACCACACUGGCCCCGGCAGUGCGAGCAGAGAGAGUGCAGGUGCUACGGAUGUGGUCAGCCGGGACACAUGAGGGCAGCUUGUCCCCCAAUAGCGUCUCCAGCACCAUCAACUUCAGCACCACCAGCACCGCAGCAGUCUUACGGAGCAGCACCGAGCUACCGCCAUGAGGACAGAUCGUCUGUGCCGCGGUCGAGUGAGCGGCGACAGCAGGCUCCGAGUGGCAGGGUUUAUACAGCCCGGGUGAAGGACUCUACAGCAGCCGACCGAGUGGUGGCAGGUAUCACUUUGAUUUCUGGCAUUAGAGUUCGCACUCUUUUUGAUACCGGUGCCUCGCAUUCCUUUGUUAGCCGAGCAUUUGCACAGUUACAUGGUCUAGAGUUAGGAGCGUUGUCUCAAGCACGAGAGGUGCAGAUCCCAGACUAUGUUUUGCAGGUUGUGGAGUGUUGUUGGUCAUGCCCGGUGCAGCUAGACUCGUGGAUUAUGCCCGCAGAUUUGUUGGUGUUAGGGCAGCUGCAGGAUUUCGACGUCGUGCUCGGUAUGGAUUGGCUGGCGCGGUACUAUGCUACGAUCGACUGUGGAGCGAGGAUGGUGACGUUCCGCGAGCCAGGCCAUGAGGAGUUUACUUUUAGACGCUGCAGGAGCACGCUGUUUGCCACCUGGAUAUCUUCGGCGAGGGCUCGACAGAUGCUGAAUAGCGGGUGUAUCGCUUUCCUAGCGACAGUUGUGGAGGUACCUACGGCGGCGCCGGGACUCGAGGAUAUCCCAGUAGUCCGCGAGUUUCCGGAUGUAUUUCCCCCUAAGUUGACGUCGUUGCCGCCGGAGAGGGAGAUUGAGUUUGUGAUUGAUGUAGUUCCUAGAACUGCACCAAUCUCGAAGGUACCUUAUCGGAUGGCGCCGGCAGAGCUGAGAGAGCUAAAGGCACAGCUUCAGGAUUUGAUAGAUAGAGGGUUUGUGAGACCCAGUGUUUCGCCUUGGGGAGCGCCAGUGUUGUUUGUGAAGAAAAAGGAUGGUUCACUUAGGCUGUGUAUGGAUUACCGGGAGCUGAAUAAAGUGACCAUCAAGAAUAAGUAUCCCUUGCCUCGUAUUGAUGAUUUGUUUGAUCAGCUGCAGGGAUCUUAUGUCUUCUCGAAGGUUGAUCUCCAGUCAGGUUACCACCAGCUGAGAGUAAGGGCCGAGAAUGUUCCCAAGACAGCUUUUCGGACUCGGUACGGGCAUUAUGAGUUCACGGUGAUGCCUUUUGGAUUGACGAAUGCCCCUACCGCAUUCAUGGAUUUGAUGAACAGAGUGUUCAAGCCGUUCUUAGAUAGAUUUGUGGUAGUCUUCAUCGACGAUAUCCUGAUUUACUCCCGGAGUGAUGCUGAGCAUGAGCACUUGAGGAUUGUGCUACAACUUCUGCGAGAGAAGAAAUUGUAUGCCAAGUUAAAGAAGUGCAAGUUCUGGCUACGGGAGGUUGCUUUCUUGGGCCACGUGAUUUCAGCUAAGGGCGUAGCAAUGGACCCGAAGAAGAUUGAGGCGAUUCGAGAUUGGCCUAGACCGACGACGGUGACUGAGGUACGGAGUUUCCUGAGACUGGCAGGAUAUUACCGUCGGUUUGUGGAAGGCUUUGCGAAGCUUUCCACACCCCUCACACGCUUGACGCGGAAGGGGAUUCGUUUUGUCUGGAGCGACGACUGUCAGAGGAGUUUUGACGAGUUGAGACUGAGGUUGACGUCGGCUCCUAUCCUUGCCCUUCCGGUGAUGGGGGAUGGAUUUGUGAUCUACAGUGAUGCAUCGCACAGUGGACUUGAUUGCGUGCUGAUGCAGUAUGAUAGGGUGAUUGCUUAUGCUUCACGGCAGUUAAAGAAUUAUGAGAAGAAUUACCCUACGCAUGACUUGGAGCUUGCCGCAGUGGUUUUUGCUUUGAAGCUCUGGCGGCAUUACUUGUACGGCGAGCACUGCGAGGUCUUCACCGAUCAUAAAAGUCUCAAGUAUCUGUUCACACAGAGGGAGCUGAACCUGAGGCAGCGCCGGUGGUUAGAGUUACUGAAGGACUAUGACAUUAGUAUUCAGUAUCAUCCCAGCAGGGCGAAUGUUGUGGCAGAUGCGUUGAGCAGGAAGUCAGUGCAGAGCCUGAGUUUGAGGAUCACUGAGCAGAGACCCCUACUCAAGGAGCUACAGCGGCUGGGACUCGAGAUAGUACCCCCUGAGUCUACGGCGAGGCUGACGUCUCUAGUUUUGCAGCCCACUCUGUUGGAUAGGAUCCGAGAGAAACAGAGUGGAGAUCCGUACUUGUUGAGGAUUAGAGCAGCUAGACAGGGGGCAGGCUGAGAGUUUUGCUUUGGACAGUUCGGGAGUACUACGGUACAGGGACCGACUGUGUGUGCCUGUGGAUUCUGAAAUCCGAGCAGACAUUCUGAGAGAGGCUAAUUGUUCUCCUUAUACGGUUCACCCAGGUGGGACCAAGAUGUAUAAGGACUUAAAGGCACAGUUUUGGUGGAAUGGAAUGAAGAGAGACAUUGGCAGAUAUGUGGCUCAGUGUUUGACUUGCCAACAGGUGAAGGCCGAGCAUCAGAUGCCUGCUGGGAAGCUUCAGAAUCUGCCAUUGCCCGAGUAGAAGUGGGAGUACAUCACGAUGGACUUCGUCGUUGGAUUGCCUAGAGCGCAGGGUGGCUACGACGCGAUUUGGGUGAUAAUGGACAGACUGACCAAGUCUGCUCACUUCCUACCAGUUCAGACUACCUGGUCCAGAGAGAGACUCGCGCAGCUAUACUUGGAUGAGAUUGUUAGGCUGCACGGCGUGCCAGUGUCGAUUGUAUCAGACAGAGACCCGAGGUUUGUAUCCCAGUUUUGGAGGAGCCUUCAGACCACCGCCUUGGACACUCAGCUGCAUUUUAGCACGGCGUUCCACCCACAGACAGAUGGUCAGUCAGAGCGGACCAUACAGACUCUAGAGGACAUACUGAGGGCAUGCGUCCUGGAUUUUGGAGGAGGGUGGUAUCGACAUGUGAGACUAGUUGAGUUUACGUACAACAACAGCUAUCAAGCGAGCAUUCGGAUGGCUCCGUUUUAAGCGUUGUAUGGACGCAGAUGUCGAUCCCCUCUGUUUUGGAGUGAUGUGGGUGAGAGGAUGACACUUGGACCGGAGAUCUUACUUGAGGCUGAGGAAAAGAUGAGAGUCGUUCGACAACACCUUUUGACAGCACAGAGCCGACAGAGGAGCUACGCCGAUAUCAGAAGACGAGACUUGGAGUUUCAGGUUGGAGAUCAUGUUUUCCUCAAAGUCUUGUCGUCCAAAGGAAUACGCCGAUUUGGAGUACGUGGAAAGCUUAGUCCACUGUUUGUUGGCCCUUUCGAGGUAUUGGAGCGUCUCGAACCGGUUGCAUACAGGAUAGCUCUACCCCCGCGACUUACUGGCAUCCACGAUGUUUUCCACGUCUCAGCAUUGAGGAGAUACGUUUUCGAUCCCUCUCAUGUGAUUGACUUCACUCCACUUGAGAUUGGCGAGGAUCUGAGAUACGAGGAGCGACCGUUGCGGAUUCUUGCUCGAGAGACAAAAGAAUUGUGCAAUCGGAUCAUCCCGUAUGUGAAAGUGCAGUGGAGUAAUCAUGAUGAGCGGGAGGCGACUUGGGAGUCUGAGACGGUGAUGAAGGAGGCCAAUCGCUAUUUGUUUGAUGCCUGAGCAGAGGUAUGUUUCAGUUUCGAUGACGAAAUUUUUUGUAGAGGGGGAGGAUGUGAGAUCCCUGGUGUACGGCUGUGGAGGCUUGCCGACAGCUCUGGAGAGUGUCGAGACAAGUUUGAGUCGCGUUGGCGUAAAAUGCAUGCAAAACGAACCCCCCGCGACGCGAACGUAGCACUUGGCGAGAAAAUCCGCAAAAUUGCAGGUUUUCUGCUUGCUGUACCGGUACAGCCAUCAAGGUGUACCGGUACACUUCAGCUAGCUACACGCGGGCUGCUCUCGGGUUAGCCUCUAUACCGGUACACCGACCCCUCGUACCGGUACACCAGGGUAGGUAAGGGGUGGUUUGGUCUUUUUCCCACUUCGUUCAUAUCACCCUUUCUCUCUCUCUAGCUAGGUUCUUGCGCACGGUGGAGCUCGGGUGGAGUUCGGAUUUCGUCGCCGACGUCGCGCCGCGGAGUCGUUCGAGCACGUGUUUGACGCCGGGGUAGCGCGAGGAGGCUGGGCGAGCGUAGGUUUUCGCCGUUCUUGCUGUCGCACCGGUGCUUGGUGUUGUCGAGGUGGGUAAUUCAGCAUUUUCUUUGUUUUUGGGCAAGUUCUUACUACUUCAACUCGGAAUGAUGUUGUUGCUGAAAUUCAUCGCCGACUGUUAGUAUUUCAGCUCGUACUCGACGUAGGAGCAUCGGAUUUCGACGAGGCUUGGUUCGUUGGAUUCGGGACUUCGAGAAGAAUCCACGAAGCCCUUACUUGCCGGAUUUGGUGAAGGUUAGCUUGGUCGAAUCCCUUUUCUACUCUGUUGCUGCGAAAUUCGGACCGAAUAGGUGGAUUUUGAUCGUAGAGCUUGGAGUUAGCUCGAGUGCUAGACUUGGAGGGUUCCAGUUGAUCCAGCAGGGAUCACUUUGGUGCGAGGCUUCGUUCGUUGCCAGGAGCUAGCUUCUUGAGGUGAGUUACAUCGGUUUUGACUCCUAAGUUCUAAUCAUCGACAUGUAUAAUUUCGAUUUUGGUAUAGUCUAUUCUAGCUCGAAUUCAUGGAUUAUAUUGUAGAUUGCAAAUCUGAAUUUGGAGCAUGCGGUAAUAAGUUGAGUAGUUUAUACAUGUUGGACUUGGAAUUCGACUUAGGAGAAAACCUGCGAUUGGGACCUGUCACUUGUUUAAACUGCCUGAUUUAGCUCUAGGAGCCGUUAUAAAAUUGUACUGUCGCAGUAUCUUUGAGACGAGUACUCCGGGUAGUUUAGAAUAUAUUUACGCUCGUGCUGGUACGCCGAGUGGAUUUUUACAGAGUCAUUUGGCUGUUUCGGACUUUUGCGCCGUUGGAGUUGACGGUGGGCCCGGUUCGCCGUUUUGGCGUCAGAUUGUGCCGAGGGCACGUUACUUGUUUGUUGUUAGACCAGUUAGAGUCGGUUACUUAAACUUUGGCUUGACAGAGCCUGAUUGAGCUCGACAGAGAUACGCUGCAUACUCGGUUGGGUAGCGCCCACGAAUGCCACUCCGGAGACGGGCUUUGUACUUUCGCGUUGGUGUCGCUCAUGCCGGUUGGACUUACUCUCCAUGGACCAGUUAGUGUAGAGGUAGCUGGAUAGUCGCAACUGGGCAGGGACGGGUGUAUUCACAGUCCCAGGGACGGGUAGGUUUACAGUCCCGAUUGGAUUGGGUCAGAUUUGACAUUUCCUACAGUUGGUUAGUAUAGAGCAUGAUAGUUUGAUUGAUAGCGGUAGAAUUUACUUCCUGCUUUUCCUACUAUCCUGACUUCUCUCUGUAGACUUAGUGGAUGGAUCGAUGUUGUUUGGGCGGCACCCACUGAGGACUACUUGUUUUUACAGUUGUUCUCACGCCCAGUUGUUACCCCUGUUUUGCAGAGCCACAGGUUCCGGCUGCUGCGCCUUCCGCGGAUCAGGAUCGAUGCAAGGGCGUCGCGAGUUAGAGCCCUACCCGACGUGCUGAGCUAGAGGUGCCCCUACUGCAGGUAGAUGUUUUUUUUUCGAGUUUAUGUACAUAGUAGACUUAACUCGCCAGUGCGAGUAGCUCUGUAUUUUGGAUUUGGACUAUGUAUAUGAAACUCAGUUUGUUUAGCUUCUAUUUCUCUAGCAGCUCUCUACUACUGUUCGUAGUAGUGUUGGAUUUACAGGUACAGCUGUCGCUUCGUAUACAGGGAAAAUUCUUUUGUAUACGGCGGAUUUGUCGGCGUGCCCGGGGAACAAGACAUUCGGGGCGUGACAGUGGUGGUGUGGGUGUUGUUUGAAAAUCGUGGCUUAUUGGUCAAUAAUUGUUGAUGGUUGCACUGACCAGCGUUUAGGAUUGUUCUGGUGGCAAAUAGUGAUGGCCGAACUCAGCAGUCACCACCAUCGACAUUGGCAUAUGGACACAUUUGCUAACAGUAGUGAAUGAUGGUGGUGAGAACCUAGUGAUUUGGUGCACGAAGAUGUUUACUAUCAACUGUAGCCAACUAGAGCAGAGGACAAUAGUGUAAGUGGUGUGAACAACUGUAGCAACAAAAGGUUAUUGAUAAGCAUUUUCGGAUCAUACAGAUCUAUGCAUUUAAUUCAUAGAUGUUGGGUUCCUAGCAAUUUGAUUCCUGGAAUCAUAUUCUUUGGGACAUUCUUUCAAUCUGUAAAUAAAAUACAUCACCAACCAGGCGACCAUAGCAAUAAUAUGCUUCAUAAUCUGACUCCUAGGAAUCCAACUCUCUAGUUAACUCAAAAUCUGCGGAGCGCACACAUCAUAAAGUUUGUGGUGGUAUGUAAGCACAAAUUUGAAGUUCAAAGAAAAACUGCAUAGAAAUUCCAAAAAGAAAGAAGUUGUACAAUAAUAAAGUCUUUGAGUAGCUAAAUUCACAUCAAUGAAUUUAAACAGCAACAAUGGUUUUAACAAUUCUACACAGUAAUUUGAACUCAACUGAGAUAUACUUAAGCACCCAUAAGAAAAUAAGAAAAUGACGAGAUUUCACUAACAACACUAUAAUAGCCGAGAGAAACACCUAAACAUUACCAUAAUCAGCAACAAGGAAUCUUCACUUGUUUCCUCGACAUAGCUAAAUAAAAGCAUACUAUUGACAGAUCAAAUACCCAGAGAUAGGCAAAAGAAGAAGAAGAAGAAGAAGAAGAAGCAACUGCAAUUUACUUGACAAACAAUAUAAUACCUUGAUUCUUCAGUUGGGAUGUAAUUCCAGUAUCUCCGAUCAUCGAUUCCCGUAAUCGACAGCGCCUUCGACGAAAUCGACAGGCAAAUACCUCCCCUCUUCUUUUCCAGCCAAAAUUCCUGCACCACAAGCCCAUCAAAAUUCACACCCACCAAUAAAAUAAGAUUAACAGCUAAAACCACGAGAUCAUACACUAGGUUCCCCUAAUUCCAUCACACCUUGGUGCCCCCGUCGAAGGGGUUGCGGCGGCAAAGCCAAGCGUACGUCUCCUUCUUGGUGAGCACCCACUUUGCAGGGCAAUCGUCGCCGCCGAGGGCCACCGCCAUCAAGUAUCCGUAGUUCCUCGGCAGCUUAGCGGCCCAGAUGGCGUCGGCCGACGCCGCCCCGCGGAAGGUGCGGCUGAGGCGCGCCAUCCGGCAGAUCUCCGGCGGGUCGAGGUGGAGCAGCACCUCCGCCACGCAGCUCUCCGGCAGGUCCGCCAUCACCGUCCGGCGGGCCCCCCCGCCCUCGUCCCCUUCCGUCCCCAGCAUGCUCGACGCCCCCGCCCCCAUCCCCGAAACCCUAACCCUAACCCUAGCCCUAGCCCUAGCCCUAGCCCUAGCCCUAGGCGGUGAUCCGGGUGGAGUUUAGCGGCAGUAGAGGGUGAGGGAUUUGGAGGAGUGGGGAGAGGCGGGAGCGCUUGGAUGGGGGGGGUAGGUUAGGGAAGAAGGGGGAGGGGAGGAGGAGCGCCCAUGGAGGGAGCCGGGGGGGAGCGGAGGGGGUGCCGUUGGAGAAGGAGAAGGAGAAAGGGCGGAAUAAAGUUAUUCCGAUCGAGGGGGGAUAAGUGCAAGAGGAUUGAAGAUAAGGGGGGGAAUAAAUGCGCCCGGAUUUGUUCUAAUUUUAGUGGGAGGAAUAAAGAGGAGGACAGGCGGUGGGGGUUGGGCGCAGUACCAGCCGAAAACUGAGAGGGAGGGACUGACAGAGACAGAUAGGGAGAGACAGACAGAGAGGGGAGGACGAGGGGAUAAGUUUUCGAAUCUUGGAUUAGAACAAGCCAAGGUGGCCUUUUUGGAUAGUAAAUAUAUAUAUAUCCAUACAUACAUGCCCGUGCUACGCACAUUUCGUAGAUAAUAUUUUAAUAAAAUUUAAAAUUUAAAUUUAAAUUUAAAUUACUUAAUUUUAUUUAUUAGAAAUAGAUUUAUGUAGUGAUUAUUUUAUGAAAUUGAGAAUUAUUAUAUUUUUCUAGAAAUUUUGCACAGUAGAAGAUAUGUCAAAAUUAAAAAGAUAAGUCGGAAUCACCUCGAUUGGCUCGAUGCAGAUGAUCUGUAGUUGAUCGGGAGUAUUCUAAUACAACGGCUAAUCCGAACAUAACACUACUGUUAUGUUUGGUUCAGGAAAGAUCAUGAAUAAAGUGGGUUAUUCUCACUAUUCUAUCGAAAUAGGAUCCCUUUGCUAUUUCUAAUUAGGAAUUAUUUGAUUUCUUAAAAAAGUGUUGAUAAAAUUUUUUUGUUAAAAAAAAAUCUUAAUGGUUGAAUGAAAAAUGCCAUUAAAUUCAUCAAAGCAGUCAAAAACAGGUAGAUACAAACACUUUAUUUUAAUGGUUGAAUGAAUGUCUAUAGAGUACUAAAUUGUACAAACUUUUAUAAAA